rnacentral:rRNA from 1 species
UACUAGAGUAGCACUCGCAUAUCAAUAAGCGGAGGAAAAGAAACUAACAAGGAUUCCCCUAGUAACGGCGAGUGAAGCGGGAAGAGCUCAAAUUUGAAAUCUUAAAGGGUUUCCCUUUACGAAUUGUAGUUUAAAGAAGUGUUUUCUGUUGAGGUUUUGGUAAAAGUUCUUUGGAAUAGGACAUCAUAGAGGGUGAGAAUCCCGUAUUUGACCUUUACUUUCAACUUUGUGAUACACUUUCAAAGAGUCGGAUUGUUUGGGGAUGCAGUCCAAAAUGGGUGGUAAAUUUCAUCUAAAGCUAAAUAUUGGCGAGAGACCGAUAGCGAACAAGUACCGUGAGGGAAAGAUGAAAAGAACUUUGAAAAGAGAGUUAAACAGUACGUGAAAUUGUCAAAAGGGAAGCGUUUGACACCAGUGUUGUUUUUCUGAAAAUCAAUUAAAGAACUGUUUAUGCUAAGCUGUUUAGACUUUAUCAGCUAACUGUUUAGUUUUGAGCUUUUCUUUAAUGCACUUUUCAGUUAACAAGUCAACAUCAAUUUCUUUUGCUGUAAAAAAGCUUGAGGAAGGUGGCUUGAGAUUCGUCUUAAGUGUUUAUAGCCUCUUGCCUAUGCAGUCGGAGAGAUUGAGGUCUGCAGCGUAGAUCCUUCGGGGCUAAAUGCAUUUGUGCUAAGUUAUAGCAUUUUAUAGACAACUUGUUGACUAUGAUUUGUCUUGUAGCUUACUCGCUUAUGUUAUUUUACCUACGCUUAGGAUGUUGAGCGCAUGUCUCUCUCU